rnacentral:tRNA from 1 species
CAUUAAGAAGCUAAAUUCAAAGCGUUAACCUUUUAAGUUAAAGAAUGGAAGUAUUAAUCUUCCCUUAAUGA